UACGUAGGGGGCAAGCGUUGUCCGGAUUUAUUGGGCGUAAAGAGCGUGUAGGCGGCCAAACAGGUCAGCUGUGAAAACUCGAGGCUCAACCUCGAGACGUCGGUUGAAACCGUUUGGCUAGAGUCCGGAAGAGGAGAGUGGAAUUCCCGGUGUAGCGGUGAAAUGCGCAGAUAUCGGGAAGAACACCCGUGGCGAAGGCGGCUCACUGGCCCGGUACUGACGCUGAGGUGCGAAAGCGUGGGGAGCAAACAGG
rnacentral:rRNA from 1 species